rnacentral:rRNA from 1 species
AACGAACGCUGGCGGCAGGCUUAACACAUGCAAGUCGAGCGCCCCGCAAGGGGAGCGGCAGACGGGUGAGUAACGCGUGGGAAUCUACCCAUCUUUACGGAUUAACGCUAGGAAACGUGUGCUAAUACCGACUACGUCCUUCGGGAGAAAGAUUUAUCGGAGAUGGAUGAGCCCGCGUUGUAUUAGCUAGUUGGUGGGGUGAAGGCCUAACAAGGCGACUAUCCAUCGCUGGUCUGAGAGGAUGAUCAGCCACACUGGGACUGAGACACGGCCCAGACUCCUACGGUAGGCAGCAGUGGGGAAUAUUGGACAAUGGGCGCAAGCCUGAUCCAGCCAUGCCGCUUGAGUGAUGAAUGCCCUAGGGUUGUAAAGCUCUUUCACCGGUGAAGAUAAUGACGGUAACCGGAGAAGAAGCCCCGGCUAACUUCGUGCCAGCAGCCGCCGUAACAC